GUACCGCCUUGAUGAAGAUCACCGGCAUGUUGGGGGUCAGCUCCUUCAGACGAGCGUCCGCUAUCACCCCUGUCUGGGUGUCCCAGCGCGCCCCUGCACAUACACAACCAGACACAUACAUACCUACCGUAUUGAACUCUAAACAUAGAAACAUCUGUCAUCACUCCAACCCCCAUCUCCACAUUGAGACUGUAUGGUUGUGUAUAUCUACAGUACUGUACAAACGGACCACUUAGUUACCAAUGCCUGAGAAAUAGCACUGUUUUUGUCACGGAAACUAGUAAGGUGUUUUCCAUGAACUACAAACAUUAAUAUGCUGAGUACAUGUUGCCAGCAGGAGGAACGUUAGCCAGGAUGUUGUGUACAUUCCACAACCUCCCCAUUAGUUUUGUAUUGACAGAGUAGAAUCUGGUACAUGAUGAGAGUAAAGUGUGUGUGUGUGAAGGUAAAUAGACAGGCAUGUGAACAGGUGUGGGUCUGAAGGUGAAUAGACAGGUGUGUGAACAGGUGUGGGUCUGAAGGUGAAUAGACAGGUGUGUGAACAGGUGUGGGUCUGAAGGUGAAUAGACAGGUGUGGGUCUGAAGGUGAAUAGACAGGCAUGUGAACAGGUGUGGGUCUGAAGGUGAAUAGACAGGCAUGUGAACAGGUGUGGGUCUGAAGGUGAAUAGACAGGUGUGUGAACAGGUGUGGGUCUGAAGGUGAAUAGACAGGUGUGGGUCUGAAGGUGAAUAGACAGGCAUGUGAACAGGUGUGGGUCUGAAGGUGAAUAGACAGGCAUGUGAACAGGUGUGGGUCUGAAGGUGAAUAGACAGGCAUGUGAACAGGUGUGGGUCUGAAGGUGAAUAGACAGGUGUGUGAACAGGUGUGGGUCUGAAGGUGAAUAGACAGGUGUGGGUCUGAAGGUGAAUAGACAGGCAUGUGAACAGGUGUGGGUCUGAAGGUGAAUAGACAGGCAUGUGAACAGGUGUGGGUCUGAAGGUGAAUAGACAGGUGUGGGUCUGAAGGUGAAUAGACAGAUGUGUGAACAGGUGUGGGUCUGAAGGUGAAUAGACAGGUGUGGGUCUGAAGGUGAAUAGACAGAUGUGUGAACAGGUGUGGGUCUGAAGGUGAAUAGACAGGUGUGUGAACAGGUGUGGGUCUGAAGGUGAAUAGACAGGUGUGGGUCUGAAGGUGAAUAGACAGAUGUGUGAACAGGUGUGGGUCUGAAGGUGAAUAGACAGGUGUGGGUCUGAAGGUGAAUACACAAACUGUGCGUGUGUGUGAAGGUGACAAGACAGACCGCUGUGUGUGGAGUGUUGAGAUCCCUGGAGGAGCCUUAAGGACGGUUGAGAGGAGAACUGAUCUAGCAGUGUUUACUACGGUACUCUAAACCAGUGGUUCCCAAACUGUGGGGCGUGCCCCCUAGGGAUGUUCCCCAAUGCUGGAAGGAGGCCUGAGAGAAAGUUUGGGAAACCCUGCGCUAACCAGCUCAUACAGUGAGUCAUUCCAGGAUCUGAACUGGGCACUCUGUGUGAAUGGAUGACUAUCUUUGUAACCUAAGAGAAUUUGAUGAGUUUUUUAAAAUGAUAUUAAAGUUUUGACUGCACCUGAUGUGUGUUAUUGACGGACUUAUUCAUCUCCAGAAGAUGGUGGCUGAUGUUUCAUGAUGCCAUUGCUAAUGGCAAAAAUUGGCGUAAAUGUGUUCUACAGUGUAUCACUUUGGAGAAAUCCAAAGUAGCCAUUUGCCUGACUGAAUAAACGUAUCUAUUUUCUAA